GAAUUUCAGGAAGCUGUCCUGGCUCUUAAGAGUGCUCAGUAUACUCUAUACAUAACACACAUUAAUUGUCUUAAGAAUCUUGCCCUUACCUUGUUUACAACAAUACCAACAGCAUGUGGGUAACAUUAUAGACUGCUCCAGUUUUGCCAUGGUAACAUCUGUGGGCAUUCCUUCUUGAACAGUACCCAUUCCCUUAAUGUCUACAAUAUCACCUUUCUUUACAGAUACACAUAUAUAUGGGCAAAGGGACAACUCCAGGUUUUCUAAAAGGUUUAGAGGAAAUAUAUCAGGUGCCUCUCUUCUUUCCUUUUGUUCAUAAUUUUGGCAAAUUACUGGAAGAUGGUGGUUCGGGCCAAAAGGAAUAAUUACAAAUUUUUAAACUGUCAUGUUGAAGAAUUCUUUCUUCCUAGAUAAAUGUAAAUUGACAUGGUGUUCCACCACCUAUCCUCAGAGAUGCAGUUAGCAGAAAUGGCUCCUAAAAUUAGUGGUCACUGUUACAUUAUAAAAAUUUGUCAGGCCAGGCACGGCGGCUCACGCCUGUAAUCCCAGCACUUUGGGAGUCCAAGGCGGGUGGAUCACUUGAAGUCAGGACUUGGAGACCAACCUGGGCAACAUGGUGAAACCCUGUGUCUACUAUAAGUACAAAAAAAAUUAGCCAGGCAUGGUGGCAGGUGCCUGUAAUCCCAGCUACUUAGGAGGCUGAGGCAGGAGAAUCGCCUGAACCUGGGAGGUGGAAGUUGCAGUGAGCCGAGGUGGCA
rnacentral:lncRNA from 10 species